rnacentral:rRNA from 1 species
UACGUAGGGGGCUAGCGUUGUCCGGAAUCAUUGGGCGAAAGAGCGUGUAGGCGGCCCGGUAAGUCCGCUGUGAAAGUCGGGGGCUCAACCUCGAAUGCCGGUGGAUACUGUCGGGCUAGAGUGCGGAAGAGGCGAGUGGAAUUCCUGGUGUAGCGGUGAAAUGCGCAGAUAUCAGGAGGAACACCGAUUGCGAAGGCAGCUCGCUGGGACGUAACUGACGCUGGAGACGCGAAAGCGUGGGGAGCAAACAGG